UUAUAUCUUUGUACAAUGCAUGUGAUAAUGCCCUUUUUAAUUCUGAGAGACAAUAAAAGGUUGGGAACUUGUUUCCUAUAAAUCUGUUGAGUGCUAAACAUUUUUGCAGCCUUAGUCUAUUUCACUUAGGCAGUGUCGUAUAUGUGUUGCUGAAGUUGCACAAUGUGGUGCGAUUGCCAAGUAGUGGUGUUGUGAAAAAAAACCUCCCUGUACCACCUACAAUAGUGGUGACAGGUGAUAGAGAAUAUGGGUUUGAUUUUGGAGAGAAAGCCUGAGAAAUGGCUACCACAUCCAAGGAAGGCAGCAGGCGCACAAAUUACCCAAUCCUAACAUGGGGAUGUAGUGACAAUAAAUAACAAUACUGGAAUCAAUGAGUAUGGUAAUAGGAAUAAGUACAAUCUAAAUCCCUUAAUGAGGAUCCAUUGGAAGGUAAGUUUGGUGACAACAGAUGUAGUAUUUUCAGCUCCAAUA
rnacentral:ncRNA from 1 species